AGAGUUUGAUCAUGGCUCAGAUUGAACGCUGGCGGCAUGCCUUACACAUGCAAGUCGAACGGCAGCACGGGGGCAACCCUGGUGGCGAGUGGCGAACGGGUGAGUAAUACAUCGGAACGUGUCCUGUAGUGGGGGAUAGCCCGGCGAAAGCCGGAUUAAUACCGCAUACGCUCUACGGAGGAAAGGGGGGGAUCUUAGGACCUCCCGCUAGAGGGGCGGCCGAUGGCAGAUUAGCUAGUUGGUGGGGUAAAGGCCUACCAAGGCGACGAUCUGUAGCUGGUCUGAGAGGACGACCAGCCACACUGGGACUGAGACACGGCCCAGACUCCUACGGGAGGCAGCAGUGGGGAAUUUUGGACAAUGGGCGAAAGCCUGAUCCAGCAAUGCCGCGUGUGUGAAGAAGGCCUUCGGGUUGUAAAGCACUUUUGUCCGGAAAGAAAUCCUCUGCCCUAAUAUGGCGGGGGGAUGACGGUACCGGAAGAAUAAGCACCGGCUAACUACGUGCCAGCAGCCGCGGUAAUACGUAGGGUGCAAGCGUUAAUCGGAAUUACUGGGCGUAAAGCGUGCGCAGGCGGUUCGCUAAGACAGAUGUGAAAUCCCCGGGCUUAACCUGGGAACUGCAUUUGUGACUGGCGGGCUAGAGUAUGGCAGAGGGGGGUAGAAUUCCACGUAGCAGUGAAAUGCGUAGAGAUGUGGAGGAAUACCGAUGGCGAAGGCAGCCCCCUGGGCCAAUACUGACGCUCAUGCACGAAAGCGUGGGGAGCAAACAAGGGAUUAGAUACCCCCGUAGUCC
rnacentral:rRNA from 1 species